GUGAGGAUUUAAGGAAGAUAGAUGGUACAAGAUGUUGUCUCCUCCGCAGACGCUUUCUGCUCUGGGUGUCUAGUUUACAACGCAUGAGCCAGAGAAAAUGAGAUGAGGGACGACGGGUGGCUUUGGGGAGACACCCUGCAAGAGGAAAGGUUUGACUUGAGUGUGGAGGUGGAAUUCGAGGAAACGGCAUAUUCCAGAUGGUGGGAACAGCUUAUGCAACAGCAUCAC
rnacentral:lncRNA from 10 species